UCCACGGUAGCUCAAUGGUAGAGCAAACGGCUGUUAACCGUUAGGUUGCUGGUUCGAAUCCAGCCCGUGGAGCCA
rnacentral:tRNA from 1 species